AACGAACGCUGGCGGCGUGUCUUAAACAUGCAAGUCGAACGCUAAGGGAGGAGCUUGCUUCUCUGGUAGAGUUGCGGACGGGUGAGUAACGCGUAGGUAACCUACCUGGUAGAGGGGGAUAGCUGUUAGAAAUGAUAGCUAAUACCGCAUACGCGCAGCUGUUGACUGACGUUUGCUUAGAAAGUGCACUUGCACCACUACCAGAUAGGACUUCGUUGUAUUAGCGAGUUUGGGAGGUAAAGGCUCACCCAAGCGACGCUACAGAGCCGGCCUGAGAGGGGGAACGGCCAACAUUGGACUGAGACACGGCCCAGACCCCUACGGGAGGCAGCAGUAGGGAAUCUUCGGCAAUUGACGGGAGUCUGAACGGGCAACGCCGCGUGAGUGAAGAAGGGUUUCGGAUCGGAAAGCUCUGUUGUAAGAGGAGAAAGAGUGUUAGAGUGGAAUGUUCAUCCGGUGACGGUAUCUGACCAGAAAGGGACGGCUAACUACGUG
rnacentral:rRNA from 1 species